UGAGCAAAUAUGUUUUAAGUGCUUCGCGUUCUUCGAUAUCUAUAGCUACGCGUCGUUCAGUUGGCGUGCGGUUUUCGUUUUGGGCUGCGUAAUUUAAUUCAUUCAGCUGUUGCCGAAAUCUGGAAUUGAAAGAUUGUACACUUUCCGUUGCCCCUUGUUUUAAAUUCUUUAAUUUGUCCCAACAAUUGCUAAUAGUUGUUGGUGUUAAUAUGUGUUGUCUUAAGCAUGAAUAUAAGUCUUCGAACGAGUUAAUUUUUAGAUAUCGUAUGUUUCGUUUCGCGUUGUCUGUAAUCCUUUCUAUCAGUAUGAGAUCUAAUAAUAGCUCUCUGUCACUUGCCUUGCACCUAGCUCUCGCUUUUCGGACCGAUAAGAUGAAAUCUUCAACGCCUACGUCAUCUCGACCUCGUAGUGUCUCGAUAGUUCGUAUGGCCUUUUCUGCUUCGAAGCCUUGAUCUUCGUUGUAGUUGUUUCUUUGUUUAAUCGCGGCGUGGCUAGACAUGGCUCGUGGUCUUUGUGAAGCGUUCGGUCCGUCAGUUUCGUCAUCGGUUACGUUAUCAGCAAUGGUUUCUAAAUGGGUGUUCGUUUGCGGCUGGUCGGUCUCGUGUCGAUCGGUGUCGUAUUUUAUUCCCAUGGUUUUUGCAAGAUCACGUAUUUCUUUAGAACGCUAGUUUCCGUAAAUUCCUUUAUGUUUUUAAUAUUUUGAUCGGUGCUAUUCCUAAACUUUUUAAACUCGCCAGUUAGGCUUUGAAAUUGUUCAAUCAGGGUAGCGAUUAGCUCGUUUUGUUUAGCGGUACUCUUGUCAGUUGGGUUCAUAUUUAGAGAUAUGACACUUUCGGAAGAAGAGUCACUAUCUUCAGAACGUAUUUUGGUUUUACUGUUUCGAUAAUGUACGAAAGCCAACUUAUCGAAGUUCUUUGUGGGUUCGUGGGUUGUGACUUUGUCGUCGAGGAUGACCGUAGUCCAAGUUGAUCCUUUUCCCGAAAGUUGGUUGUCUUGUUUUCUCAAGGAGCAGUUUUCACUAUCCUGGCAGGUUCGCCAAUUUUGUCACGUCGGUUCGAGAUUAUUUCGCUUUCCGCACGUAAGGUGAGAGAUUGGUACUUCGAUUAUGAUAAUUAUUGCAAAAUUUAUUAUAUAAACUGACAGAGUAAAGAUACAGAAUGUCGUAAACAGAACAGAAGAGACCAGAAUAGAGUGUAUUGUGCUGACUUGGGAGGUUUUUUUAUAUCAAGCGUUUAGUUCCGGUGGGGUUAUCGCUGGAUGCCGGUCGCAUAGGUAUGCUGCUACUGCUUGAUGACUAUGGUAUGGAAAAUGUGAUUAUCCUAGCGCUGUAUUCCGAGACUCCUGUGACAUCUGUAUUGUGUGACGGUUUCGUUCUAUAAGGUAUAUAGUUUUACAAUUUGAGGUUGUCUUAUAUUCAUAGUGGCGUGUUAUGAGUUUCUGUUAUUUAUUAUCUGUCCACAUCUUACGAGUUUUGAUCGCUUUUUAUGUGAUAGUUUGCAUUUUCUUUUGUGAAUACGGCAUUAGUUCGUAGUAAAUUUUAAUUUAUAGUGCGUGGAUUUGACGGGUUAGUUCAAUAUUGUAGAUUGAAUAAAUUAUUCUGAGUGUUGCUUUUUAUUUAUUUUAUUUUGUUUAAGCUUGCUCGGUAUUUUAGUUUGUUGUGGUUUUUAUGUUUUCUUUGUGAGUACAGGUUAUGUUGGGUCAUGGACAUGGAAGUAUCUGCGCUUGUGCAAACUGUACAAGUAUGUAUUAUUUUAUUUAUUUUAACUUUAUCCUGUUUCCUAUGGUAUUUCGUCCGUCUGUCUCCCUGAUCUUGUAUGUAUUGUUUUAGCGCAAGAGGAGGAGAGAUUCCGAAAAUGUGUGGAUGGCUCAUGAAGACGAUACAGAUGACUGUGCGAAGGCUCGCUUUCCUGAGGAGACUUCUACCGAAGUCCUGGAUGUUCUCCUGUGUCACCGCCCUUCUGGUCAGGGGGAAUUUUCCCUGCUGUUUUGGUGAUUAUGAUUUUAAAUGGUGAAUACGGAGGUGUCUUCGUCAAAGAUACCUUAUGCAGACUUUCCCACGUAAGAGGAAGACGGGUUCCAAAAUGUGUGAGUGGUCCCAGAAGGCGUAGUCAACCUGUGAGGUGUCGUGGGCAAGAACGAAGAAUCGUGUGACAUUUGUGUUGAUUAUGUUCGAUGCUGAUAUAUAUAUAUAUAUAUAUAUAUAUAUAUAUAUAUAUAUAUGUCGGAGAUGGAAGGACACUGGAGCCUCCCGUUUGGAACUAUGGGAAAAUCCCGUAAUAUUAUCGCGAAGACGUUAUUCCUUUUCGUUAAUAAAGUCGCAAACAGGAAUGAAUUUUCGUCGCGAUGAUGCCACCGAGGAAAACUACGACAGGGUGUGCCCAAGGGCACGAGAUCAUCGGAAUCGUGGAGAAAGCCUUCGUUCGGAAGGUGAGGGAAAUUGACAUUGCUGUUAAUUGGUCAAUU